rnacentral:rRNA from 1 species
CAGUCGCCGCGGGAAUACAGAGGGUGCGAGCGUUAAUCGGAUUUACUGGGCGUAAAGCGUGCGUAGGCGGCUUUUUAAGUCGGAUGUGAAAUCCCUGAGCUUAACUUAGGAAUUGCAUUCGAUACUGGGAAGCUAGAGUAUGGGAGAGGAUGGUAGAAUUCCAGGUGUAGCGGUGAAAUGCGUAGAGAUCUGGAGGAAUACCGAUGGCGAAGGCAGCCAUCUGGCCUAAUACUGACGCUGAGGUACGAAAGCAUGGGGAGCAAACAGGAUUAGAUACUCCGGUAGUCCCUGUCUCUUAUAC